rnacentral:rRNA from 1 species
GCGACCGGAACGUAUUUAUUAGAUAUUAGACCAAUCGCAGCAAUGUGAUUGAGAUGAAUCAAAGUAACUGAUCGAAUCGUAGCUUGCUACGAUAAAUCAUCUAAGUUUCUGCCCUAUCAGCUCUCGAUGGUAGUGUAUUGGACUACCAUGGCAGUCACGGGUAACGGAGAAUUAGGGUUCGAUUCCGGAGAAGGAGCCUGAGAAACGGCUACUACAACUACGGUUCGGCAGCAGGGAAGAAAAUUGGCCAAUCCUAAUUCAGGGAGCCAGUGACAAGAAAUAGCAAGCUGGGAAACUAAGUUUCUACGGCAUUGAAAUGAGAAAAGUGUAAAUCUCUUAGCGAGGAACAAUUGGAGGGCAAGUCAUGGUGCCAGCAGCCGCGGUAAUUCCAGCUCCAAUAGCGUAUAUUAAAGUUGUUGCAGUUAAAAAGCUCGUAGUUGAACUUCUCUUCAGGUUCAUUUCGACUCGUCGAGUGAAACUGGAAAUACGUCUGCAAACUAAAAUCGGCCUUCACUGGUUCGACUUAGGGAGUAGGCAUUUUACUGUGAAAAAAUUAGAGUGUUUCAGGCAGGUUUUAGCCCGAAUACAUUAGCAUGGAAUAAUGGAAUAGGACUAAGUCCAUUUUAUUGGUUCUUGGAUUUGGUAAUGAUUAAUAGGGACAGUUGGGGGCAUUAGUAUUUAAUAGUCAGAGGUGAAAUUCUUGGAUUUAUUAAGGACUAACUAAUGCGAAAGCAUUUGCCAAAGAUGUUUUCAUUAAUCAAGAACGAAAGUUAGGGGAUCAAAGACGAUCAGAUACCGUCGUAGUCUUAACUAUAAACUAUACCGACUCGGGAUCGGCUGGAAUAUAUGUCCAGUCGGCACCGUAUGAGAAAUCAAAGUCUUUGGGUUCUGGGGGAAGUAUGGUACGCAAGUCUGAAACUUAAAGGAAUUGACGGAACAGCACACCAGAAGUGGAACCUGCGGCUUAAUUUGACUCAACACGGGGAAACUCACGAGCGCAAGACAGAGAAGGGAUUGACAGAUUGAGAGCUCUUUCUUGAUUCUUUGGGUGGUGGUGCAUGGCCGUUCUUAGUUGGUGGAGUGAUUUGUCUGGUUAAUUCCGUUAACGAACGAGACCUUAACCUGCUAACUAGUCUGCCUGUGAACAACAGGUUGUACUUCUUAGAGGGACUAUUGUGCAAGAAGCCAAUGGAAGUUUAAGGCAAUAACAGGUCUGUGAUGCCCCUAGACGUGCUCGGCCGCACGCGCGUUACAAUGACUGGCGCAGAAAGUAUUUCCUGUCCUGGGAAGGUACGGGUAAUCUUAUUAAUACCAGUCGUGUUAGGGAUAGUUCUUUGGAAUUUUGGAUCUUGAACGAGGAAUUUCUAGUAAGUGCAAGUCAUCAGC